AUUGAACGCUGGCGGCAUGCUUUACACAUGCAAGUCGGACGGCAGCACAGAGAAGCUUGCUUCUUGGGUGGCGAGUGGCGAACGGGUGAGUAACAUAUCGGAACGUACCGAGCAGUGGGGGAUAACUAAUCGAAAGAUUAGCUAAUACCGCAUAUAUUCUGAGGAAGAAAGCAGGGGACCAUUUGGCCUUGCGCUGUUUGAGCGGCCGAUAUCUGAUUAGCUAGUUGGUGGGGUAAAGGCCUACCAAGGCGACGAUCAGUAGCGGGUCUGAGAGGAUGAUCCGCCACACUGGGACUGAGACACGGCCCAGACUCCUACGGGAGGCAGCAGUGGGGAAUUUUGGACAAUGGGCGCAAGCCUGAUCCAGCCAUGCCGCGUGUCUGAAGAAGGCCUUCGGGUUGUAAAGGACUUUUGUCAGGGAAGAAAAGGGCGGGGUUAAUACCCCUGUCUGAUGACGUACCUGAAGAUAAGCAC
rnacentral:rRNA from 1 species